ensembl:lncRNA
UCACUCAUACUUGCCUGUAAUUUUAAAGUUUGCAUUGGGCUGCUAAAACUAAAGCACAAACUCUAGAAUCAAAGGACUCAAAAGUUCAGUUUUGUAUCAGUAACCUCCCUUUGCAAUCAAUGGCCUUGAUUUGCACUCUUUUUCAGAUGGUGCUUGCCAAAAAAUUGUGAGCUUUUGCUUUUUGAAAAACAGUGCUAUAUAUAACAUUUGUUUUGUAGUGAUUAUAAGGACAAAUAAGAUUUUUUUAUAUCUACAUUUUUGAAGUUUUUUCCCUAAGAAAUUAUAAGUUUUUCCUUUUUUGCCACUAAUGCAAUUGACUAUAAGGGUUAAAAUUCUGUUAAUAUUAUCCAAAUGAAUACUAGCCAUGUAACCUAUUACCUGGAUAAGAAAGUAGGAAAUCUUUAGAGACCAUAUUCUUCACAGUUCUUUGCAACCUCAAAGAUAAUGGCAACAGAAUUUCUGCAGGAGAUGGACAAUUUAAAUAUAAGUGACCCCAAAGAAAUGAUGAGUUUAGCUAUAAAGUGUGUACAGAAGACAUUUCCAAAUGUGGAAUCAGUUACCACAGGGACAUUGCAAUGCUGGAUGGAAGAGAAGCCAGAGGAAUUAAUCAUUCUUGAUACCCGGAGUACAGCUGAAUUUGAAGUCAGCCAUCUGCCAGGAGCAAUACUCAUUGACCCUCAGAGUGAUACACUGCAAGAAUUUCUGCAGAAACAGCUCCUUCCAGGUAUAGAAAAGAUCUCCGUAGGACUCGUUCUUUGUUGUUGCAAAUUGCUUUCAAGCUGCUUUAAGAGAGUAAAAAUAAAAACAUCAUUUGCUAUUGCACUGUGGGAUACAGGUCUUCCCUGAUUGCCCAGAGCAUAAAUGAGUUCUUGUCAAGUGAAGCCGUCCAAACCCCCAAAACUUCCCUGAAGGUUUAUAAUGCAGAAGGAGGACUGAUGAAAUGGGCCAGUGAAAGAAGGCUGAUGGUGGACAAGCAGGAUCAGCCCAUUCACCUUGUCCACCCCUGCAGUGAAGCAUGGGCAAAACUACUGGAACCAGAGCUGCAAGCACAAAUCUAAAGCAUUUCUGCAAGUCUGAUCUUAACUGGGGCCUCUAGGUGAAAUACAAAUUAAUAAUAAGAAUAAGAAUUAAUGGGGGCCCCAGCCUCAACUAUGUCUUGUAGGAAUAACCAUAAUGCUACUAAUAAUAGAGGAUUACAAUAUGUAUUGUAAAAGCAGCAAAGAGUCCUGUGGCACCUUAUAGACGAACAGAUGUAUUGGAGCAUGAGUUUUUGUGGGUGAAUACCCACUUCAUCAGAUGCAUGCAUUUCUCCCAGGAAAGCUCAUGCUCCAAUACAUCUGUUCGUCUAUAAGGUGCCACAGGACUCUUUGCUGCUUUUACAGAUCCAGACUAACACGGCUACCCCUCUGAAUAUGUAUUGUAGUUGUUUUAAUUGUGGGCAGAACUGGCUAAAGCUACUAAGCCAGCUUUUCAGCUGGUCUAAAGUGGAGUAGGAACUGAAGUCAGUUCAGAUAUGACAAUUUACACCAGUUAGACUGAAAUCUAGAUUAACAAAGGGCACAGGACAAUACAGAAUCCCUCUACAGUCUGGUGAAAAAGGAGACGUCCUGGCAAAUGCUGGAAACAAGUCUGAAAGAGGUUAUUGUGUCCUAGCAUAAGAAAUGUGAUAAAGGCACAUCAGUCCUCCUCUUACGCCAAGAUGGAACAGAACACUUUAGCUUUAUGAACCUUUUCCUUCAGUCUCCAGGUCUGUCACUCUGGCACCUAUCAUAAGCAUCUUUUAAAGAUUAUAUCUAAUAAAAAAUACAGAUAGAAUCCCA